GACGAACGCUGGCGGCGUGCUUAACACAUGCAAGUCGAGCGGGAUCCAACCGGUGGCAACACCGGGGAAGAUCUAGCGGCGAACGGGUGAGUAACACGUGAGCAACCUGCCCCGAAGACUGGGAUAACACCGGGAAACCGGUGCUAAUACCGGAUGUCGUCAUUAGGCCGCAUGACCUGAUGAUGAAAGGAUUCAUCGCUUCGGGAGGGGCUCGCGGGCUAUCAGCUUGNGGUGGGGUAACGGCCUACCAAGGCGACGACGGCUAGCUGGUCUGAGAGGACGACCAGCCACACUGGCACUGCGACACGGGCCAGACUCCUACGGGAGGCAGCAGUAAGGAAUAUUGCGCAAUGGGCGAAAGCCUGACGCAGCGACGCCGCGGUGGGGGAU
rnacentral:rRNA from 1 species